AAUCAACGCUGGCGGCGUGCCUCAGACAUGCAAGUCGAACGAUUAAAGCUCUCUUCGGAGAGUGUAUAGAGUGGCGCACGGGUGAGUAACACGUAAGUAAUCUACCCUCGAGUGGGGAAUAACGUCCGGAAACGGACGCUAAUACCGCAUAAUGCAGCGGCACCGCAAGGUGACAGUUGUUAAAGGAGAAAUUCGCUUGAGGAGGAGCUUGCGGCAGAUUAGCUUGUUGGUAAGGUAACGGCUUACCAAGGCUACGAUCUGUAACCGGUCUUAGAGGACGGUCGGUCACACUGACACUGAAUAACGGGUCAGACUCCUACGGGAGGCAGCAGUCGGAAUUUUGGGCAAUGGGCGAAAGCCUGACCCAGCAACGCCGCGUGAAGGAUGAAGUAUUUCGGUAUGUAAACUUCGAAAGAAUAGGAAGAAUAAAUGACGGUACUAUUUAUAAGGUCCGGCUAACUACGUACCAGCAGCA
rnacentral:rRNA from 1 species